CCUACGGGAGGCAGCAGUGGGGAAUAUUGGACAAUGGGCGAAAGCCUGAUCCAGCCAUGCCGCGUGUGUGAAGAAGGCCUUCGGGUUGUAAAGCACUUUCAGUGGGGAAGAAAGCCUUGGGGCUAAUACCCUCGAGGAAGGACAUCACCCACAGAAGAAGCACCGGCUAACUCCGUGCCAACAGCCGCGGUAAUACGGAGGGUGCGAGCGUUAAUCGGAAUUACUGGGCGUAAAGCGCGCGUAGGCGGUCUGAUAAGCCGGUUGUGAAAGCCCCGGGCUCAACCUGGGAACGGCAUCCGGAACUGUCAGGCUAGAGUGCAGGAGAGGAAGGUAGAAUUCCCGGUGUAGCGGUGAAAUGCGUAGAGAUCGGGAGGAAUACCAGUGGCGAAGGCGGCCUUCUGGACUGACACUGACGCUGAGGUGCGAAAGCGUGGGUAGCAAACAGGAUUAGAUACCCUAGUAGUC
rnacentral:rRNA from 1 species